rnacentral:misc_RNA from 1 species
ACAAUUGACUACUUUUCCGUUCUUAAGUCUUUUCCGUUCUUCACUCAUCAGUUUAACUUACUGCUUACACGUCGCUAAUCUAAUGACGCGAUCUACGGCGAAUGCGUCUCUCCGCGAAUGGUUGAACAAUAAUCAAGACAGUCGUGUCGUUACAGAAAUGAUAAAAUUUCGAAAUGUUCAUAGGAAGUCAUACUUUCGUCAGUCAUCGUACAUAUGCAUAUUUAUAAGAUGUUUCCAAAGUGUUCAUGUUCGUGAAGCAUACAAUAUUCAUUCAACAUACAAUAUUCAUAAGAGAUUUCUUUUCUUCGCAGGAAGCCCCAUGACGAUGCUGCUGUGGCUCCUUUAAUGGACCUUCGACAAAGCUCCUCUACUCUUGGUAUUCCCGGGGCGUACGUAAGAAUAUACGUAAAGACUUAAUAAUACCAACGAUCAAAGAGGAAAAGGACAAGAAAGAACAGCAACACAUCUUGUCUCUGAAAACAGCAAAACUCCCGUAGAAAGGAUUGAAAAGAAACCACCCCAUUGAUCUCACUGAAGAAAUAUGAUUUAGUAAUCAAGAUAGAACAAUUUAUCAAAUGUCCAGCUAGACAAAUUAUAAAGUACAAGUUACUAAAAAAGAAAGAAAUUUUUAGAUUUCCAUUGUAUGUUUGGCUGGCCAUUUGUAAGUGAGCUAAGACUUUGAAUUGAGCGCUGUUUUCAUCGUGUACACAUCGUGUACUUUUCUAUUACGCGAAAUUACGUAUGAAGACUACAACGAAACUUUCUAUAUUUUUUAUGAGAUCAGUUUUAAAGUUCAGUACGUUGU